CCUACGGGUGGCAGCAGUGAGGAAUAUUGGUCAAUGGCCGGAAGGCUGAACCAGCCAUGCCGCGUGAAGGUCAGUGCCCUAUGGGCGUUAAACUUCUUUUGUGCGGGAGCAAUAAUGGUCACGUGUGGCCAGACGAGAGUACCGUACGAAUAAGCAUCGGCUAACUCCGUGCCAGCAGCCGCGGUAAUACGGGGGAUGCAAGCGUUAUCCGGGUUUAUUGGGUUUAAAGGGUGCGUAGGCUGUGAGGUAAGUCAGCGGUGAAAUGCCCCCGCUCAACGGGGUGAAGUGCCAUUGAUACUGCCUGGCUGGAAUGCGGAUGCCGUGGGAGGAAUGUGUGGUGUAGCGGUGAAAUGCAUAGAUAUCACACAGAACACCGAUUGCGAAGGCAUCUCACGAAUCCGCGAUUGACGCUGAUGCACGAAAGCGUGGGUAUCAAACAGGAUUAGAUACCCUAGUAGUC
rnacentral:rRNA from 1 species